rnacentral:lncRNA from 1 species
GGGUGUGGGGGGUGGGGUUGGGGUGGGGUGAAAUCUUAUGCAUUUUUAUAUGAAACUUUAUGCAUUUUUAUAUGAAAGUUCAUGCAUUCUCGUAUGAAACUUUAUGCAUCUAAAAUAUACCUAUUUUGAGAAAAUCUAUUUUUUUUUUUUCGAAAAUUACAUUCCAAUUUUACCCCUCUCCAGAUUUUGCCUUGAAAUGCCUUGCCACGUGUCACCAUCUU